CCACGAACGGGUGGAGCCUGCGGUUUAAUUGGACUCAACGCCGGGCAGCUCACCGGAUAAGACAGCUGGAUGAUAGCCGGGCUGAAGACUCUGCUUGACUAGCUGAGAGGAGGUGCAUGGCCGUCGUCAGUUCGUACUGUGAAGCAUCCUGUUAAGUCAGGCAACGAGCGAGACCCACGCCAACAGUUGCCAGCAUGUCCUCCGGGAUGAUGGGGACACUGUUGGGACCGCCUCUGCUAAAGAGGAGGAAGGAAUGGGCAACGGUAGGUCAGCAUGCCCCGAAUUAUCCGGGCUACACGCGGGCUACAAUGGUCAGGACAAUGGGUAUCGACACCGAGAGGUGGAGGCAAUCUCCUAAACCUGUCCUUAGUUCGGAUUGUGGGCUGCAACUCGCCCACAUGAAGCUGGAAUCCGUAGUAAUCGCGUUUCAAAAUAGCGCGGUGAAUAUGUCCCUGCUCCUU
rnacentral:rRNA from 1 species